rnacentral:rRNA from 11 species
GAGUUUGAUCUUGGCUCAGAUUGAACGCUGGCGGCAUGCCUUACACAUGCAAGUCGAACGGCAGCACGGGAGCUUGCUCCUGGUGGCGAGUGGCGAACGGGUGAGUAAUGCAUCGGAACGUAUCCUGGAGUGGGGGAUAACGUAGCGAAAGUUACGCUAAUACCGCAUAUUCUGUGAGCAGGAAAGCGGGGGACCUUCGGGCCUCGCGCUCUUGGAGCGGCCGAUGUCGGAUUAGCUAGUUGGUGAGGUAAAGGCUCACCAAGGCGACGAUCCGUAGCAGGUCUGAGAGGAUGAUCUGCCACACUGGAACUGAGACACGGUCCAGACUCCUACGGGAGGCAGCAGUGGGGAAUUUUGGACAAUGGGGGCAACCCUGAUCCAGCCAUGCCGCGUGAGUGAAGAAGGCCUGG